GCUCUCCAUCUCUCUGUCUCUCUUUCUCGCUCUGUGGCCUGGGUUUAAGGCUCCUAAACGACGUUUUGAGCACGUCCAGUGAACAACCAAGCCGCGUUUCCCUUCGCCGCAUACGGUAUCUGCCUUUGCUAUCGCGUGAAAUUCGAGGCCGCGGCGAGCUGUACGCGAUCGAUACUCUACACCGUCCGCCGGAUGCGGCCAAACCAUUCUUAACGCGCGGCGAUAAUCCUAUGGGAAUUCAAUUAGAUGCUUCGAGAUGUUGGAUUAUGGUCAUUACGGUUGUGUGUAUGUACGCUGCUGGUGUUUAAUAACAAAAUCAAAGAGGAAGAGAAAAAUUGGGUAAUACAUGGAUGGCUCAAUGUUACAACAAUAAAUAUUU
rnacentral:misc_RNA from 1 species